ACUGCCCCACCAACCUCAGCUUUGACCCUUUCUUUCCUGCGCAGAAUAAAACAUACUGCUGGUUGUUGUAGUGUUUACUGUCUCUUGAUUGGGAGAGUUUCGUACGUGGUGUCCCAGUUCCAGGCCUUUGGUCUCUUGGCUGGUAGAGUGAGGUUAUAUUUUUAGACUGCGUUUGAAGCGAUGGAAAGAGCUGUCCUUCAUGACAGCUGUUGGUGAUCUGGUGGCGUAGGUACACGUGUUGUGGUGCUGGAUCUUGCCCGUGGGUGCAACUAACCCUAUUAACCGGACUGAGUAAGAAGUAAGGGAUAUCUGUUUUGGAAGAGGGCAGGGGGUCCAAAGUUGUAAUGUUCUUGGUGGGGUAGAGAGGUAAGUCGGGAAGGGUGUUGCUGAGGGAUGGAGGAUUCCUUGGUAAUGGGAGACUCCCUGACCUGUUCAUUUCCAGACAUUUUCACGUUUGUGACUUCCUUCCCCUUGUUUCAAGGAAGUAGGAUUUUUGUGAAGGAAGGGUGACCGCCCUGUAAUCGGGGUUCGGGUCGCCUUCCUUUUCCCCCUCUUGGCAUUGGCCCUCUUAAUGACAAAGGCCAAAGUGAGCUCCCUCUAACUAGGGUGUGCAACUUUCCCAAGCUUACUCCCCCAUUUGAAAGCUACUUAUAGAAACCAGCCUCUUGGCACCGUUAGGCGUUUCUCCUUCUAGCUGUCCUGUCACCGUGCCCUACUCACACGCACAACCAAGUCGAAAGCGAGCGAACUCUGCAUCUAGCUGGCCCCGGCUUCUGCUGCUGCUGCUGCUGCUGCUGCUGCUACAAGAUCUCCUGCUCCAUGCCACAGCAACUCAAAAGAGAAAUUGGACAAGAAGACAGAGAAGCACCAAAGAAACGGCAGGAAAAGAGAAUGGAAGCAGAAGCCACGGAAAAAGGACACACACCUUGCACACACGGGCCUCCCCGUAAUGGGGACUCGUGACUUCCACUUAAGCGUCCUCCCCGUUGAGGUGCCAGCAACUCAAAAGAGAAAUUGGACAAGAAGACAGAGAAGCACCAAAGAAACGGCAGGAAAAGAGAAUGGAAGCAGAAGCCACGGAAAAAGGACACACACCUUGCACACACGGGCCUCCCCGUAAUGGGGACUCGUGACUUCCACUUAAGCGUCCUCCCCGUUGAGGUGCCAGCAACUCAAAAGAGAAAUUGGACAAGAAGACAGAGAAGCACCAAAGAAACGGCAGGAAAAGAGAAUGGAAGCAGAAGCCACGGAAAAAGGACACACACCUUGCACACACGGGCCUCCCCGUAAUGGGGACUCGUGACUUCCACUUAAGCGUCCUCCCCGUUGAGGUGCCAGGUAAAAGGACCUCCCUGUAAACAGGGAUCAAGGUCCAUUCCUUCCAAGGAUAAAGGCUUGAGGGGUCCAUAAGGUAGCUAAGGCUGAAGGACCCCCUUUAAAAAGGGUAGCGGUCUCUCUGUGGGUUUCCGCUCUUUAGGAGCUAGCCGUUAAAAUGCCCUGUGCCUUUGACCUCUCCCUGUAAGAAGGGUUCAGGUCUCCCCUUUCUAGCCUGUCUUGGGCCGCUGGCACUUGCUGGGCAAAGAGAGACCACCCUCUCCUGAGGGAAUGGAGGUCUCUCCUUUUCUCCACUCUAGGCUCUGGCCCAUGCUUAAGGACCACCCUGUAAUCAGGGUUUGGCUCUGCUUUGCCAUGCUGCUUUAGCCACAGGUCACUUUGACAUGCCAGGCAAAAGGACCGCCCUGUAAGCAGGGUGUAAGGUCUUCUCCCUCUCCCUCUUAAACCAGUGGGGCCUUUCCGUGCCUGUGCCUGAGGGACCUCCCUUUAGGAAGGGUAGCGCGCUCUCUGGGGGUUUCAGCUCUUUAGGAGCUAGCCUUUAAAAUGCCCUGUGCCGUUGACCUCUCCCUGUAAGCAGGCGUCAGGUCUCCCCUUUCUAGCCUCUUUUGGGCCGCUGGCACUUGCUGGGCAAAGAGUCCACCCUCUACUGAGGGGAAUGGAGCUCUCUCCUUUUCAGCGCUUUAGCCUCUGGCCUAAUGUAAUGCCCCUGGCUUAAGGACCACCCUGUAAGGAGGGUUUGGGUCUGCUUUACCAUGCUGCUUUAGCCACAGGUCACUUUGACAUGCCAGGCAAAAGGACCCGCCCUGUAAGCAGGUUGUAAGGUCUUCUCCCUCUCCCUCUUAAACCAGUGGGGCUUUUAGGUGCCUGUGGCUGAGGGAGCACCCUUUAAGAAGGGUUGCGCCUCUCUCUUUUUCUCUUAGUCCUAGUAAACUGCCCCAGAAAUGAUUUCUCCUUGGCUUUUUUGAAAUUUGCAGUCCAGUCGUAUUUGUGACCUCUUGAAUUCAAGCCGGGCUCCGAUGUAACAUGGUGUGGCGAAGGGCCGGCUGUAAGGGGAUGGUGGAGGCCGUGAGAAAUUCGACCCUUUUUCCAAAAAAGCCAAGAAGUCCCCCAAACCAUCCAAAUGUUCCCAGGUCUGGAAAUGAACAGGUGAGGUGGGGGAGCGGGGGCUCCUUUCAGCUCCUUCUUUCCAUGUAAUCCUUCCUCAUUUCCUCUUGCCCUGCCCAAUUAACACUGCCCCACCAACCUCAGCUUUGACCCUUUCUUUCCUGCGCAGAAUAAAACAUACUGCUGGUUGUUGUAGUGUUUACUGUCUCUUGAUUGGGAGAGUUUCGUAGGUGGUGUCCCAGUUCCAGGCCUUUGGUCUCUUGGCUGGUAGAGUGAGGUUAUAUUUUUAGACUGCGUUUGAAGCGAUGGAAAGAGCUGUCCUUCAUGACAGCUGUUGGUGAUCUGGUGGCGUAGGUACACGUGUUGUGGUGCUGGAUCUUGCCCGUGGGUGCAACUAACCCUAUUAACCGGACUGAGUAAGAAGUAAGGGAUGUCUGUUUUGGAAGAGGGCAGGGGGUCCAAAGUUGUAAUGUUCUUGGUGGGGUAGAGAGGUAAGUCGGGAAGGGUGUUGCUGAGGGAUGGAGGAUUCCUUGGUAAUGGGAGACUCCCUGACCUGUUCAUUUCCAGACAUUUUCACGUUUGUGACUUCCUUCCCCUUGUUUCAAGGAAGUAGGAUUUUUGUGAAGGAAGGGUGACCGCCCUGUAAUCGGGGUUCGGGUCGCCUUCCUUUUCCCCCUCUUGGCAUUGGCCCUCUUAAUGACAAAGGCCAAAGUGAGCUCCCUCUAACUAGGGUGUGCAACUUUCCCAAGCUUACUCCCCCACUUGAAAGCUACUUAUAGAAACCAGCCUCUUGGCACCGUUAGGCGUUUCUCCAUCUAGCUGUCCUGUCACCGUGCCCUACUCACACGCACAACCAAGUCGAAAGCGAGCGAACUCUGCAUCUAGCUGGCCCCGGCUUCUGCUGCUGCUGCUGCUGCUGCUGCUACAAGGUCUCCUGCUCCAUGCCACAGCAACUCAAAAGAGAAAUUGGACAAGAAGACAGAGAAGCACCAAAGAAACGGCAGGAAAAGAGAAUGGAAGCAGAAGCCACGGAAAAAGGACACACACCUUGCACACACGGGCCUCCCCGUAAUGGGGACUCGUGACUUCCACUUAAGCGUCCUCCCCGUUGAGGUGCCAGGUAAAAGGACCUCCCUGUAAACAGGGAUCAAGGUCCAUUCCUUCCAAGGAUAAAGGCUUGAGGGGUCCAUAAGGUAGCUAAGGCUGAAGGACCCCCUUUAAAAAGGGUAGCGGUCUCUCUGUGGGUUUCCGCUCUUUAGGAGCUAGCCGUUAAAAUGCCCUGUGCCUUUGACCUCUCCCUGUAAGAAGGGUUCAGGUCUCCCCUUUCUAGCCUGUCUUGGGCCGCUGGCACUUGCUGGGCAAAGAGAGACCACCCUCUCCUGAGGGAAUGGAGGUCUCUCCUUUUCUCCACUCUAGGCUCUGGCCCAUGCUUAAGGACCACCCUGUAAUCAGGGUUUGGCUCUGCUUUGCCAUGCUGCUUUAGCCACAGGUCACUUUGACAUGCCAGGCAAAAGGACCGCCCUGUAAGCAGGGUGUAAGGUCUUCUCCCUCUCCCUCUUAAACCAGUGGGGCCUUUCCGUGCCUGUGCCUGAGGGACCUCCCUUUAGGAAGGGUAGCGCGCUCUCUGGGGGUUUCAGCUCUUUAGGAGCUAGCCUUUAAAAUGCCCUGUGCCGUUGACCUCUCCCUGUAAGCAGGCGUCAGGUCUCCCCUUUCUAGCCUCUUUUGGGCCGCUGGCACUUGCUGGGCAAAGAGUCCACCCUCUACUGAGGGGAAUGGAGCUCUCUCCUUUUCAGCGCUUUAGCCUCUGGCCUAAUGUAAUGCCCCUGGCUUAAGGACCACCCUGUAAGGAGGGUUUGGGUCUGCUUUACCAUGCUGCUUUAGCCACAGGUCACUUUGACAUGCCAGGCAAAAGGACCCGCCCUGUAAGCAGGUUGUAAGGUCUUCUCCCUCUCCCUCUUAAACCAGUGGGGCUUUUAGGUGCCUGUGGCUGAGGGAGCACCCUUUAAGAAGGGUUGCGCCUCUCUCUUUUUCUCUUAGUCCUAGUAAACUGCCCCAGAAAUGAUUUCUCCUUGGCUUUUUUGAAAUUUGCAGUCCAGUCGUAUUUGUGACCUCUUGAAUUCAAGCCGGGCUCCGAUGUAACAUGGUGUGGCGAAGGGCCGGCUGUAAGGGGAUGGUGGAGGCCGUGAGAAAUUCGACCCUUUUUCCAAAAAAGCCAAGAAGUCCCCCAAACCAUCCAAAUGUUCCCAGGUCUGGAAAUGAACAGGUGAGGUGGGGGAGCGGGGGCUCCUUUCAGUUCCUUCUUUCCAUGUAAUCCUUCUUCAUUUCCUCUUGCCCUGCCCAAUUAACACUGCCCCACCAACCUCAGCUUUGACCCUUUCUUUCCUGCGCAGAAUAAAACAUACUGCUGGUUGUUGUAGUGUUUACUGUCUCUUGAUUGGGAGAGUUUCGUACGUGGUGUCCCAGUUCCAGGCCUUUGGUCUCUUGGCUGGUAGAGUGAGGUUAUAUUUUUAGACUGCGUUUGAAGCGAUGGAAAGAGCUGUCCUUCAUGACAGCUGUUGGUGAUCUGGUGGCGUAGGUACACGUGUUGUGGUGCUGGAUCUUGCCCGUGGGUGCAACUAACCCUAUUAACCGGACUGAGUAAGAAGUAAGGGAUGUCUGUUUUGGAAGAGGGCAGGGGGUCCAAAGUUGUAAUGUUCUUGGUGGGGUAGAGAGGUAAGUCGGGAAGGGUGUUGCUGAGGGAUGGAGGAUUCCUUGGUAAUGGGAGACUCCCUGACCUGUUCAUUUCCAGACAUUUUCACGUUUGUGACUUCCUUCCCCUUGUUUCAAGGAAGUAGGAUUUUUGUGAAGGAAGGGUGACCGCCCUGUAAUCGGGGUUCGGGUCGCCUUCCUUUUCCCCCUCUUGGCAUUGGCCCUCUUAAUGACAAAGGCCAAAGUGAGCUCCCUCUAACUAGGGUGUGCAACUUUCCCAAGCUUACUCCCCCAUUUGAAAGCUACUUAUAGAAACCAGCCUCUUGGCACCGUUAGGCGUUUCUCCAUCUAGCUGUCCUGUCACCGUGCCCUACUCACACGCACAACCAAGUCGAAAGCGAGCGAACUCUGCAUCUAGCUGGCCCCGGCUUCUGCUGCUGCUGCUGCUGCUGCUGCUACAAGGUCUCCUGCUCCAUGCCACAGCAACUCAAAAGAGAAAUUGGACAAGAAGACAGAGAAGCACCAAAGAAACGGCAGGAAAAGAGAAUGGAAGCAGAAGCCACGGAAAAAGGACACACACCUUGCACACACGGGCCUCCCCGUAAUGGGGACUCGUGACUUCCACUUAAGCGUCCUCCCCGUUGAGGUGCCAGGUAAAAGGACCUCCCUGUAAACAGGGAUCAAGGUCCAUUCCUUCCAAGGAUAAAGGCUUGAGGGGUCCAUAAGGUAGCUAAGGCUGAAGGACCCCCUUUAAAAAGGGUAGCGGUCUCUCUGUGGGUUUCCGCUCUUUAGGAGCUAGCCGUUAAAAUGCCCUGUGCCUUUGACCUCUCCCUGUAAGAAGGGUUCAGGUCUCCCCUUUCUAGCCUGUCUUGGGCCGCUGGCACUUGCUGGGCAAAGAGAGACCACCCUCUCCUGAGGGAAUGGAGGUCUCUCCUUUUCUCCACUCUAGGCUCUGGCCCAUGCUUAAGGACCACCCUGUAAUCAGGGUUUGGCUCUGCUUUGCCAUGCUGCUUUAGCCACAGGUCACUUUGACAUGCCAGGCAAAAGGACCGCCCUGUAAGCAGGGUGUAAGGUCUUCUCCCUCUCCCUCUUAAACCAGUGGGGCCUUUCCGUGCCUGUGCCUGAGGGACCUCCCUUUAGGAAGGGUAGCGCGCUCUCUGGGGGUUUCAGCUCUUUAGGAGCUAGCCUUUAAAAUGCCCUGUGCCGUUGACCUCUCCCUGUAAGCAGGCGUCAGGUCUCCCCUUUCUAGCCUCUUUUGGGCCGCUGGCACUUGCUGGGCAAAGAGACCACCCUCUACUGAGGGGAAUGGAGCUCUCUCCUUUUCAGCGCUUUAGCCUCUGGCCUAAUGUAAUGCCCCUGGCUUAAGGACCACCCUGUAAGGAGGGUUUGGGUCUGCUUUACCAUGCUGCUUUAGCCACAGGUCACUUUGACAUGCCAGGCAAAAGGACCCGCCCUGUAAGCAGGUUGUAAGGUCUUCUCCCUCUCCCUCUUAAACCAGUGGGGCUUUUAGGUGCCUGUGGCUGAGGGAGCACCCUUUAAGAAGGGUUGCGCCUCUCUCUUUUUCUCUUAGUCCUAGUAAACUGCCCCAGAAAUGAUUUCUCCUUGGCUUUUUUGAAAUUUGCAGUCCAGUCGUAUUUGUGACCUCUUGAAUUCAAGCCGGGCUCCGAUGUAACAUGGUGUGGCGAAGGGCCGGCUGUAAGGGGAUGGUGGAGGCCGUGAGAAAUUCGACCCUUUUUCCAAAAAAGCCAAGAAGUCCCCCAAACCAUCCAAAUGUUCCCAGGUCUGGAAAUGAACAGGUGAGGUGGGGGAGCGGGGGCUCCUUUCAGCUCCUUCUUUCCAUGUAAUCCUUCCUCAUUUCCUCUUGCCCUGCCCAAUUAACACUGCCCCACCAACCUCAGCUUUGACCCUUUCUUUCCUGCGCAGAAUAAAACAUACUGCUGGUUGUUGUAGUGUUUACUGUCUCUUGAUUGGGAGAGUUUCGUAC